GUGAGUUCCUGGAUCCUGGGUGCACGUGUCGUGGUGGUGAGAGGCACUGGGUGAGUCAAUAAUUUGCGGUGAAGCCUUCUACUCUGAAGCACCAUGGAUUUGUAAGCGCACAAUUUCCUGUCCUCUGACAAAAGUCUGUUAUCUGACUUGGUUCCACUCCCCUCAAACACAUCCGUUUGCCCCUGUACUUGAUCAAAGCAUUUUUGCCUGGCAGAGUUUCUCCUAGGGGAGAGAAGAGCAGCCAAGUGAGACUAACAG